rnacentral:rRNA from 1 species
ACGGGAGGCAGCAGUGAGGAAUAUUGGUCAAUGGGCGGAAGCCUGAACCAGCCAAGUCGCGUGAAGGAUGAAGGUAUUAUGUAUUGUAAACUUCUUUAGCUGUGGAGCAAUAAUCGCCAUGCAUGGCGAGAUGAGAGUACACAGAGAAUAAGGAUCGGCUAACUCCGUGCCAGCAGCCGCGGUAAUACGGAGGAUCCGAGCGUUAUCCGGAUUUAUUGGGUUUAAAGGGUGCGUAGGCGGAUGAGUAAGUCAGUGGUGAAAUAUCCUAGCUCAACUAGGAGGCUGCCAUUGAUACUGCUUAUCUAGAGUGCGAACGGCGCCGGCGGAAUGUGUCAUGUAGCGGUGAAAUGCUUAGAGAUGACACAGAACACCGAUCGCGAAGGCAGCUGGCGAGCACGACACUGACGCUGAGGCACGAAGGUGCGGGGAUCAAACAGGAUUAGAUACCCUGGUA